rnacentral:rRNA from 1 species
AUACGAAGGGGGCUAGCGUUGCUCGGAAUCACUGGGCGUAAAGGGCGCGUAGGCGGACAUUUAAGUCAGGGGUGAAAUCCCGGGGCUCAACCUCGGAAUUGCCUUUGAUACUGGGUGUCUCGAGACCGGAAGAGGUAAGUGGAACUGCGAGUGUAGAGGUGAAAUUCGUAGAUAUUCGCAAGAACACCAGUGGCGAAGGCGGCUUACUGGUCCGGUUCUGACGCUGAGGCGCGAAAGCGUGGGGAGCAAACAGGAUUAGAUACCCUGGUAGUCCACGCCGUAAACGAUGGAUGCUAGCCGUUGGACAGCUUGCUGUUCAGUGGCGCAGAAAACUCAUUAAGCAUCCCGCCUGGGGAGUACGGUCGCAAGAUUAA